rnacentral:sRNA from 1 species
UUGAAAAAUAAAAAAAUAGAAAAUAAUGUUAUUUAUUUGCAUAACCUAGUAAUGAACAUUGGGUCAUUUGUAAUUUUUUGCAUUUACAGACAGUGUUACUAUGGAUAUUCUCUUCAUAAGCGCCUCCUAGAGCACACAUCAAGAGGUCUGUCAGCUACGAACUAUAGCAACAUGCAUCAACAUAAAUGAAUCUUAGGACUAUAAUGUUGAGCCAAAAAAAAAAACCCGAAACAAAUUGCAAAAUCAUAAAUGCAGUAUGAUUCCAUCUAGUUACAUCCUAAAAAAUAUUUUUAGUUAAUUAAAAGAUUUUGGUCUAGUUGGAGUUGAUAUAUUAAUGUGCAGUAAAGUUUCCCAAUGUAGUAAAUUUAAACUAUGGAAGAAGAAGAAGAAAAGGUGAUCUGCAACUCUUUCACCAUCUGUAAUGCAGAGAUGCAGGAAGUUGGUGUUGGCCUAUAUCCUAGUAUCUCUUUGCUCAAUCACAGCUGUGACCCCAACUGUUCGAUUGUGUUUAAUGGGCCCCACCUCUUACUGCGAGCAGUCCGAGACAUCGAGGUGGGAGAGGAGCUCACUAUCUGCUACCUGGAUAUGCUGAUGACCAGUGAGGAGCGCCGGAAGCAGCUGAGGGACCAGUACUGCUUUGAAUGUGACUGUUUCCGUUGCCAAACCCAGGACAAGGAUGCUGAUAUGCUAACUGGUGAUGAGCAAGUAUGGAAGGAAGUUCAAGAAUCCCUGAAAAAAAUUGAAGAACUGAAGGCACACUGGAAGUGGGAGCAGGUUCUGGCCAUGUGCCAGGCGAUCAUAAGCAGCAAUUCUGAACGGCUUCCCGAUAUCAACAUCUACCAGCUGAAGGUGCUCGACUGCGCCAUGGAUGCCUGCAUCAACCUCGGCCUGUUGGAGGAAGCCUUGUUCUAUGGUACUCGGACCAUGGAGCCAUACAGGAUUUUUUUCCCAGGAAGCCAUCCCGUCAGAGGCGUUCAAGUGAUGAAAGUUGGCAAACUGCAGCUACAUCAAGGCAUGUUUCCCCAAGCAAUGAAGAAUCUGAGACUGGCUUUUGAUAUUAUGAGAGUGACACAUGGCAGAGAACACAGCCUGAUUGAAGAUUUGAUUCUACUUUUAGAAGAAUGCGACGCCAACAUCAGAGCAUCCUAAGGGAACGCAGUCAGAGGGAAAGAUGGCGUGUGUCUUUGUUGAAUGCCUUAUUGAGGUCACACACUCUAUACUUUGUUAGCUGUGUGAACCUCUCCUAUUGGAAAUUCUGUUCUGUGUUUGUGUAGGUAAAUAAAGGCAGACAUGGUUUGCAAACCACAAGAAUCAUUAGUUGUAGAGAAGCACAAUUAUAAUAAAUUCAAAACAUUUGGUUGAGGAUGCCG